GAGGGUGUAGUUCAGUGAUAGUGCGUGUGCUUAGCGUGCACGAGGUCCUGGGUUCAAUUCCCAGUACCUCCA
rnacentral:tRNA from 1 species